rnacentral:rRNA from 1 species
UACCAGCACCCCGAGUGGUCGGGACGUUUAUUGGGCCUAAAGCAUCCGUAGCCGGUUCUACAAGUCUUCCGUUAAAUCCACCUGCUUAACAGAUGGGCUGCGGAAGAUACUAUAGAGCUAGGAGGCGGGAGAGGCAAGCGGUACUCGAUGGGUAGGGGUAAAAUCCGUUGAUCCAUUGAAGACCACCAGUGGCGAAGGCGGCUUGCCAGAACGCGCUCGACGGUGAGGGAUGAAAGCUGGGGGGG